rnacentral:rRNA from 1 species
UACGAAGGGGGCUAGCGUUGUUCGGAUUUACUGGGCGUAAAGCGCACGUAGGCGGUUUGUUAAGUCAGGGGUGAAAUCCCAGAGCUCAACUCUGAAACUGCCUUUGAUACUGGCAAGCUCGAGUCCGGAAGAGGUAAGUGGAACUCCUAGUGUAGAGGUGGAAUUCGUAGAUAUUAGGAAGAACACCAGUGGCGAAGGCGGCUUACUGGUCCGGAACUGACGCUGAGGUGCGAAAGCGUGGGGAGCAAACAGG